AAGGAAAGAGAAAGAAUCAGAAUGCUGCA
rnacentral:piRNA from 1 species